rnacentral:rRNA from 1 species
GACGAACGCUGGCGGCGUGCUUAACACAUGCAAGUCGAACGGAAAGGCCCUGCUUUUGUGGGGUGCUCGAGUGGCGAACGGGUGAGUAACACGUGAGUAACCUGCCCUUGACUUUGGGAUAACUUCAGGAAACUGGGGCUAAUACCGGAUAGGAGCUCCUGCUGCAUGGUGGGGGUUGGAAAGUUUCGGCGGUUGGGGAUGGACUCGCGGCUUAUCAGCUUGUUGGUGGGGUAGUGGCUUACCAAGGCUUUGACGGGUAGCCGGCCCGAGAGGGUGACCGGCCACAUUGGGACUGAGAUACGGCCCAGACCGCUACGGGAGGAAGCAGUGGGGAAUAUUGCAGAAUGGGCGGAAGCCUGAUGCAGCAACGCCGCGUGCGGGAUGACGGCCUUCGGGUUGUAAACCGCUUUCGCCUGAGACGAAGCGUGAGUGACGGUAAUGGGUAAAGAAGCACCGGCUAACUACGUG